CGGUUGCCGCGGAGCCCUGGCGGGCCGCGGCGGAAGUCGCCCUCGGCGGGCCGCUGCAACCCGGAACCGCGGCCGGGUGCAGUCACUCAGCCGGCGCCGGGCGCACGCACAGCGAGGGCGCAGGCCUUGGCGCUGGGGACGUAAGUGCCGGGCCGCGAGGCGGAACGGACGGCGCCUUCCCACCGCCGCUUCUCCUUCCCCUCCUCGUUCUUCGUCUCCCUGGCGGAGCAUCCCCCGGAGAAUGCGGGCGGCAAGAAAGCGUGCGGACUGCUAAGUGAGUUCUUUCCACAGUGAAACAUGUCUUUCGGGGCCAUCUACACGUGUGUUCCUGAAUCAUGGUCAAUAUUUGGCCCAAGAAUAAACUACCUCUUACACACUUGGAGGAAGUUCUGUAGUUGAACUACAGAUGAUGACUGAGCAGUGUGCCUCAUUUGGAACGUAAAUGCAUCCAAGAAGAAAUGAUCAAAGUUUCUAACUUGCAAGAGAUUAGUAAAAGAGUUUUGGAAACUACCAGAAUUGAAGAAAGAUAUUAAAGGAUAGGAAAUGAGAAAAUAUCUAGACUGUCAAACUAAAGAUGAACGGUAAGGAACCUGAGUUUUUCUGACCUCUCCUACCCACCCUUCUCUGCCUUCGUCUCCUCCACCGGAAAGCUUAAACUUCUCCACUGCAUCACUAGCUCAUUUCACGCUCUUCUCAGAUGAUGCCCAAACAGAACAGUUCUCUGUCAAAGGAGCAGAUUUUAUAAUAUCUCUUAA